rnacentral:tRNA from 1 species
GUCGUGGUAGCCAAGCGGCCUAAGGCGCUGGGUUGCUAACUCAGUGGCGUCAAGCCUCCGGGGUUCGAAUCCCCGCCACGACG